rnacentral:rRNA from 1 species
GACGAACGCUGGCGGCGUGCUUAACACAUGCAAGUCGAACGGAAAGGCCCUGCUUUUGUGGGGUGCUCGAGUGGCGAACGGGUGAGUAACAUGUGAGUAACCUGCCCUUGACUUUGGUAUAACUUCAGGAAACUGGGGCUAAUACCGGAUAGGAGCUCCUGCUGCAUGGUGGGGGUUGGAAAGUUUCGGCGGUUGGGGAUGGACUCGCGGCUUAUCAGCUUGUUGGUGGGGUAGUGGCUUACCAAGGCUUUGACGGGUAGCCGGCCUGAGAGGGUGACCGGCCACAUUGGGACUGAGAUACGGCCCAGACUCCUACGGGAGGCAGCAGUGGGGAAUAUUGCACAAUGGGCGGAAGCCUGAUGCAGCAACGCCGCGUGCGGGAUGACGGCCUUCGGGUUGUAAACCGCUUUCGCCUGUGACGAAGCGUGAGUGACGGUAAUGGGUAAAGAAGCACCGGCUAACUACGUG